rnacentral:lncRNA from 1 species
UGUGAGCCGCUGUGCCCAGGCCAAUCCCAGAGAUUUUGAAGAUGAUUUCUCGAUACGAGUUUCACGAAGACUUGAAAAGAAUGUGUCCUCUGUUGUUGGAUGGAGUGUCCUUGAAAUGUUCAUUAGCCUUCUAGCUCCAUUCAGAAGAGCCUCCGAAGUAGAGACCAGAAAUCCUUCUAGUGGGCUGUGCUUUGAGCAGUACUGCUUGUUGACUGCUUUACUUGGAAGGAGAGAUCGACUGAGAAUGUAUAACAUCAAGAGCUGCCCUAAUGUGAACUGGAGACUUCGAGUGACAACAAUGUGCCCAUGUAGGUCAUUGAUUGUAACAAAUGGAUCACUGUGGUGGGGCACGGGGGAGGCUGUGAGCAUGAGGGCAGGGCUGUGUGGGAACUCUCUGUACCAUCUGUUCCAUUUUGCCCUGAGCCUAAAACUGCUCUAAAAAGUAAAGUCCAUUAAAAAACAAACAAACAAACACAAAGCAAAAUAAAACAAGAUCAUGAAUUAUUCGUGAAUCAUGAAUUCAGAAUUAUACUUAGUCUUCUUGUAAAACAUAAUUUUGUAUACUGCUUUAGAUGACACAAACGACUCCCUACCUCCUGGGAUUUUUGGGAGGAUUGAGGAUAAUGUGUCAUAAACAAUGUAAUAAUGGGGGCAAUAAUAAUAAUAAUCCAUAAUAGUAGCUCUAGUUGUACAGAGACCCCUGCCCACCCCUCCCAUCCUCUCCUGGACGGCAUGGGAGUGAAAGGGCUAAUAGAUGUGGAAAUUCUUUGGGCUUCCGCAUGCUGUUUUUAGUUAAAAUGACAUGACAAUAGUACUUACAUAAAAUUUUCUAAUCCUUUGUGUCCCUAGAAUAUGAAGCUCUGGUGCCCUGGGGUGAGCACGAGCACUUCUAGAGGCAGGCUUUCCUCCCCUCCUCUCCCCUGAAUCAUUGCUCUUCCCGUCUGAAUGUUCCCAGUUCAGGGACUUGCUGUUUAUCAGCCACAGGAAAAGAUUCAGGAUGCAAUAGGGUAGAUUUUUGUCUUGCUAAGUCUCCAUGCUCCACAGGGAAUGGCCAAUUAGAGUCCAGCCCAGACUCAUACAUCACUGUCACACCUGGCUCCUUGGGCCUGGGGGCCGGGCCGGCUCCCAGGGAGGCAUCCAUAGAUCAUAGCCAUCUCCUAGCAAGAGGAAGAGGAGGUGUGGGUGGGGUGGUGGGAGGUGGUGAGGUCUGGAGGGGGCAGAACAUGAUCUUUGGUCGGAAGCUGGAACGUCAGGGAGGGGCUUGAAGAAACCAUGAAUUCUUCAUUACUAAGUGCCUUGUGGCAGGGUAAAGCCAGAUAAAUUUAAAUAUGCCCAUCACCCAGAGCUUUAGAGCAGUUUUCCAAAGAAACUCAAGGGUUUGUGUUUCAUUUGUGUGGUCCCUGCCCCUUUUUUCCCCUACCCUUAUUAUCCAUAAUUCUGGGGAGGCACUAAAAGCAAAGAAAGAAAUCAAAAGCUCUGGCUGAUUUUUAACUUGAUAUGGUGGCAGGUUAGAGCCCUCUGUGGUUGUGUGGGUGCGGGGCGGGGGGGUAGGAGUCUGAUGCCCACCCACCACUCCCAGGUCUCAUCAUCCUCAUGGUUCAGUCCUUCACACAUUCACUCAUUCAUUCACUCUUCAAAAAGCUUUUAAUAAACACCUACACUGAACCAGGCCAUGUUCUGGGUGCUAGGGAAAGAAGUGGACAAGACUCUGCUCUCUUCAUGGAACCGAGUAUUCUAAGGACACAGCCAAGUCAGGAGACUACACCCCUAGUAUAAUAAGUCCUGUGGCUGUACUGAGAAGAGGUCCUGACUCAGAACUGGAGGACAUCAUGGAAGGCUUCCUGGAGGAAGUGCCAUCUAGGCUGAAACCUAAAGGAUGAGUAGAACUAACCAGAUGAAAAGCACUGGAUUUGACUCAUCCCUGCAUCCCCCGAGCACCUCGUGGGUGCCGUAAAGGCAGCUGGGUUGAUGAUGACUGAGUGAAGGAGCGCCUGAGUGGAUGAGCCACUGAGUGAAUGAACUGGAGUUCAUCUUCCACGUGGUCCUCAGCAUCCACUCUAGAAGCCAAAGCCAAGGACACAGCAACCCACCGAGUGCCUUGUCCUCACUCUCUCCAACUGGGGAGUGCCCCUGCGGUGUCAUCUCUCUUUACAGAAGAGAUGCCAUGAGCUACUUUCCUUUCCCCACCUCACCUAACUUCUCUGCUGUAGCCUAACAGUCCAGGACCUGGGGAUUCAGGUGAGACACAGAUUAAGUCCCCAUAACUGACAUUUUCUUCUGAGAAGAAAGCAUUCACAUUCAAGGACUUGAGCAGCUCUGAGCCCCAUGGCAGCUGAGAUGCCACAGUGCGUCAAGUACAGGCACAUGGCAUCUGGGAGGCAGAGCUACAUCCUCUGGGUUGGAUGAUUUCUGCCUUUCCCCAGGGGUUCACAGCUUGCAAUCAUUCUGUAACUGAGGAGUCUGGUGGAAAUGGGGGUAGCAAAGAGAUCAGAGCAGGCAAAUGGUCCUCUGGGGCUGGGAACACUCCCUCUUUCUACCUUCCAACUGCAGGCACAUGUACGUGUCUUUUCAGCCUGAGGGAUCUAAAGCCUUGGGACUUCUGGAUCUGCAAGUGGUCCCUGUUUUGGUAGCUAUUGACUGACGAGGGGCUCUUCGGUAAGUUCUGGGGUGGCAGUGGAGGUGAUGAUGGGAGGGUGUUACAGGGCUCCACAGGCUCUUACAGGGCUCGGGAGCUUAUUUAAGGGAACACCUUGAUUGUCCAUGUGUCGUGGGCCAGAGAAGAAAGGCAGCACUGUGGAUCUUCUGGGAGGAAAGGAGAGGCGUCGAUUUCUGACUCCAGUUUUCUAUGAUCAGCACAGACUCUGUCCCACCUCCUCCCUACAGAGCUUCUGGAUCCUGGAGGAUGGAGAAUAGGCUAAAUUGCACAGGCCAGCUCCAGUCCAUUGGCAGGGCUGCCUAGAACAUGGCUGUGAUGAUCCCAAAGCUCAAUAGCAGAGAACCCUGUGGGGUGCUAGGAGUGUCUGCCAGGGUGCCGCAGGGAAAGGGGAGCAUGUGUGUAGAUGUAGAAAGCAUCUCUGCCAUCCCCUCCCCUAAAGAAUAUAUAACAUGGCCAUGCAGAAAAACACUUGUGAAAGGAGCUGCUGCCCUCAGGACAGCGUGUCAUUGAAAUGGGGGCUGAGCAACCCGUCAGAAGAGUGGGGAGGAGGGACCAUCCUCCAGCCCCUUCCCAGCUCUCUUCUGGAGCCAUAAGCCACAACACUGUCUAUGAAAAAGCUGAGGCCUAGAGCAGAAGGAGUGCAAAAUCCCAGCUACUGCAGGCCUACGCCCAGUGGUUCUCAAAGUGUUGUCCUCAGUCUAGCAGCAUCAGUGUCACCUGAAAACUGGUUAGACAUCCAGGUUCUCAGUUGUUAUCCAGCUCUAGCAGAUGGGAAACGCUGGGGGCGGGACCAGCCAUCUGUGUUUAACAAGCCCCACAGGUGACUGCUGUAGCCUUGAGUGAGGACCUCGGCCAAAAAGAAGGCUCCUACCGUGGCUGUUUGCUGAUGGUCUUCGCAGAGCCUGCUGUCUUUGAGCUUCCUGAGAGAGGGACACUACCCUCGCUUAGCCUGGCAGUGUUGCCCAGGAGGAGGCAGUGGAGUUAAGAAGCCUGGGUCUGAGCUCCUCAGCUGUGCAGACAACUCCUACUUGUUCUUCAACGCUCAACUUUAAGUUCAGUCACCACCUGCAGAAGUCUUCUCCAAAACCUCCCCACCUGGCUGACUAAGGGGCUGGCUUUAUGCUCUUGCAGUACUCAUGCUUCCUACUGUCACAGUUCUGACCACACCGUGGGAAAACGUCUCUAACUAGAGACCUGUCUUGCCUCUUGUGCCUGUAGUACGGGAUGGGUGCCCAGUGUGUGUUGAUUGUAUGAAUCAAUCUCUGUGACUCCAGAGUUCCUUUCUUCAGGAGAUUAGACAUCACCCCUGCAAUCAACAAUGCAAGCCACUGCUGUUUCCUCCAUCCUGAGCAUGAGGAACCUAUCCAGUUUCUCUCUCAGAUGCCAGGGCCAUGAGGCAAGUCCAGCCUUGGCCUAGAACCAAAGAUGGAAACAAAAAGGGGCCAGACUGUGUUGCCUUCUUGAGCCUGGUCUGACUCCUGAGUGGAAGUCUGAUUCCAGGUACAUGAGAUAAGCACUAAUACCUCCAGUUUGCAGAUUAAGAGACUGAGGUCCUGAAGAGGUUAAAGAACUUGGCUCAAGUCACAUAGCUGGUGAGCAGCAAGAUACAAGAAUCAACCCAAGUCCAGGGGGCUGUGUGCCGUUUACACUUCACAUCUGUGCUGCCAGGGCUGUAGCUAUAAAAGCUUGAAAACCAUUACUCUGAGAAUCUCUCUGUUGGGAAAAUGAGUCCCUUCAACUCUAGUUGUUGCCACUGGGAUGCUAACAGAAAGCAAAGUCUCAGAGGAAAGAUGUGGCAUUCCUGAGUGUCUUCCAUGUACCAGGACUUCUAUUUGCUAGCCACUUUAUGUUCCUCAUCCCAUCCUUCUGUGAGGGACAUACUUUUCAGAUGAGAAACGUAAGCUCCGCGAAGCUAAGGGGCCGGACUGAGGUCCCACAGCGAGAGUGUGGAGGAGCCAGGAUCCGAACCCCAUCGCCAGCCCUUGCCAGUUCCAUGAUUCCGGUGCCAGCGCUCGCCUGACCUCCAGGGCUGUCAUGGUGGGAAGGGACUGGAGGGCAUCUGCUGGGCAAAGGAAAGAGACAAACAUCAUCCCAGAGCCUGUCUUCCCUGGGCAAUACCCGGGCCACUCCAGACAUGGCGUCUUUAGCCCUUCCUUGGUCACUGGCCCCCAGGUGAAGAGAGCAUUUUUCUCUGACUCAAGUUCUUGCCUCUGGAUUUGCCAAGCUCCUAUGACAGUCUUCGCCCUUCUGAAGCUCUCUCAGGCUCCCCUUCCAGAAAUCCCGCAGGUUCCACCGACCUCUCUGAGAGCACAGGCGAGUGGUUGAACGGUGGGCUUUAGAGACGGCGCGGCACCAGAGUCCUGUACUGGCUGUGUGAUCCUGAACCUCCUCACUGAGAUUCUCAUCUGCAAGAUGGAGA